rnacentral:rRNA from 1 species
CCUACGGGUGGCAGCAGUGGGGAAUAUUGCACAAUGGGGGAAACCCUGAUGCAGCGACGCCGCGUGAGCGAAGAAGUCUUUCGGUUUGUAAAGCUCUAUCAGCAGGGAAGAAAAUGACGGUACCUGACUAAGAAGCCCCGGCUAAAUCCGUUCCAGCAGCCGCGGUCAUACGUAUGGGUCAAGCGUUUUCCGGAUUUACUGGGUGUAACGGGAGUGCAGGCGGCUUGGCAAGUCUGAUGUGAAAGGCUGGGGCUCAACCCCAGGACUGCAUUUGAAACUGUGAGGCUGGAGUGUCGGAGAGGUAAGCGGAAUUCCUAGUGUAGCGGUGAAAUGCGUAGAUAUUAGGAGGAACACCAGUGGCGAAGGCGGCUUACUGGACGACAACUGACGCUGAGGCGCGAAAGCGUGGGGAGCAAACAGGAUUAGAUACCCUGGUAGUC